GGGAAGAGGUGGUCAUCAACUAUGAAGGAAUCCAGACCUUUAAUCCUGUAGAGCUUCCAAGCUAUUAAAGUGGCAGAAAACAACCUUCUAAAGAGAUAGACCCCUAAGGAUUUGGAUAACAAGAGAAAAGACAACAACAAAUAAUUUCUUUGGUGAGACCCUUACAUAUUAUGGAAACCGGGCUUAUGACAAUUGUGGCAUUGAUUGCCAGAAAAGUGGAAGAAUGGAAUGUGGAUGGAAAAACAC
rnacentral:lncRNA from 10 species